UUCAAUACGAGAGACAGAGGAUAGACAGUGUGUUCAGCAACUAAUUCCAAACAAAACAAGAGAUCCAUAUACCAGAUUGAUCAGAGAUAUCUGAAUUUCUUUACAGUGUCAAGUUCAUCUUGAUGUUGAUAUUUGAAGCGAUUGAGAGAGAAGAGUACAAGGGUCUGUGAGAGAGAGAGACGGAGAGAAGAGCGUGGGAUUGAGAGAAAAACAGAGAGAGAGAGAGAGAGAGAGAGAGAGACGGAGA
rnacentral:lncRNA from 1 species